rnacentral:rRNA from 1 species
AGAACGAACGCUGGCGGCAUGCCUAACACAUGCAAGUCGAACGAGACCUUCGGGUCUAGUGGCGCACGGGUGCGUAACGCGUGGGAAUCUGCCCUUGGGUUCGGAAUAACAGCGGGAAACUGCUGCUAAUACCGGAUAAUGACGUAAGUCCAAAGAUUUAUCGCCCAAGGAUGAGCCCGCGUAGGAUUAGCUAGUUGGUGAGGUAAAGGCUCACCAAGGCGACGAUCCUUAGCUGGUCUGAGAGGAUGAUCAGCCACACUGGGACUGAGACACGGCCCAGACUCCUACGGGAGGCAGCAGUGGGGAAUAUUGGACAAUGGGCGAAAGCCUGAUCCAGCAAUGCCGCGUGAGUGAUGAAGGCCUUAGGGUUGUAAAGCUCUUUUACCCGGGAUGAUAAUGACAGUACCGGGAGAAUAAGCUCCGGCUAACUCCGCGCCAGCAGCCGC